rnacentral:rRNA from 1 species
AAUGAACGCUGGCGGCGUGCUUAACACAUGCAAGUCGAACGAGAAGUGAAGACGGAAACCUUCGGGCGGAAGGCUUUAUUUCGAGUGGCGGACGGGUGAGUAACGCGUGGGUAACCUGCCGCAUACAGGGGGCUAACAGUUGGAAACGACUGUUAAUACCGCAUAAGACGACGGCACCGCAUGGUGCGGGGGUAAAAACUCCGGUGGUAUGAGAUGGACCCGCGUUCGAUUAGCCAGUUGGCGGGGUAACGGCCCACCAAAGCGACGAUCGAUAGCCGAUCUGAGAGGAUCACCGGACACAUUGGCACUGAGACACGGCCCAAACUCCUACGGGAGGCAGCAGUGGGGAAUAUUGCACUAUGGGGUAAGCCCUGAUGCAGCGACGCCGCGUGAGUGAAGAAGUAUUGCGGUAUGUAAAGCUCUAUCAGCAGGGAAGAAAAUGACGGUACCUGAGUAAGAAGCCCCGGCUAACUACGUG